rnacentral:rRNA from 1 species
CAGAACGUCGUGAGACAGUUCGGUCCCUAUCCGUCGUGGGCGUAGGAAAUUUGAGAGGAGCUGUCCUUAGUACGAGAGGACCGGGAUGGACAUACCUCUGGUGUACCAGUUGUCGUGCCAACGGCAUAGCUGGGUAGCUAUGUAUGGACGGGAUAAGUGCUGAAAGCAUCUAAGCAUGAAGCCCCCCUCGAGAUGAGAUUUCCCAACUUCGGUUAUAAGAUCCCUCAGAGAUGAUGAGGUAAAUAGGUUCGAGGUGGAAGCGUAGCGAUACGUGGAGCUGACGAAUACUAAUCGAUCGAAGACUUAAUCAAA